rnacentral:lncRNA from 1 species
GGCUGUCCAUAGGGGCGGAGAGGGUUCUACUCCCCAAGGCACACUUGAGAAGCCCCUGGCCAGUCGAGGCACACUGUGGAGGACCUGCCCUGGGAUCAUAUUCUGCACUCUCCACCCCAGCACCCUGACCAAGGGCCCCCAGUCAAGGUGCUGCCAGGGGCCAGGCAGGUGAAGCUGUGGACUAAGCUGGAGACCAAGACCACUGAGGGGCACCAUGGGUUCUGGGGUCAGGAACCA